CAGCCGCCACGGUAAUACGGAGGGAGCUAGCGUUGUUCGGAAUUACUGGGCGUAAAGCGCGCGUAGGCGGUUACUCAAGUCAGAGGUGAAAUCCAAAGGCUCAACCUUGGAACUGCCUUUGAUACUGGAAGUCUUGAGUCCGGGAGAGGUGAGUGGAACUGCGAGUGUAGAGGUGAAAUUCGUAGAUAUUCGCAAGAACACCAGUGGCGAAGGCGGCUCACUGGCCCGGUACUGACGCUGAGGCGCGAAAGCGUGGGGAGCAAACAGGAUUAGAGACCCCCGUAGUCCCUGUCUCUUAUAC
rnacentral:rRNA from 1 species